CACGGGCAGCAGCAGCAGCUCAGGGCGGUCUUUGCCGACUCACCCACGCACCGCCGCCGCUGCCACAGCUGGGAAGGCGUCACCACCACGGCCGCCACCCCCCUCACGUCGUCCAGCACCGGCUGAAACGCCGACGAGUAGAGGCGUGUUUUCCUCCGCCCCCGUGCCCGAGCCACCCGACGUAUUUGCCACCAGCGCAGGCACAACGGCGGCCGCGGCGGUUCCAGCGCCGAAUGUCUUUGAUCAUAGCAGCAGCGACCUUGCCGUGCCCCCUCCCCCCGUCUUUGACGCGCACCCGGCCUUCAAAGCCGGCUCGACGGGUGCUGCGCAGCCCCGCAUUAGACGCCGUGCAUCGACCGGCGGUUGCACCUCGUUCGCCGGCACGACAAGCGAUUUUGGCCCAGCACCACCGCUCGUGUUUGAGCAAGCAUCAUCUACACCAACAGACACUAGUGCGCGCGCCGUGAUAGCCAGGCAAGCAGGGGUGGCAAAGCAGCACUCCUCGAAACAGCAGCGGAGUGCGCGACAGCCCGAACUGCCGACCCUGGCUGAGCUGUUGGCUCGUUUGGACGCCGAUGACGAUGAGGACGAGGGCGGCUCAGAGAACACUGUGGAAUGGACCCGAGGCCUCUCCUCUCGAGACGGCUCGAAUGGCUCUGCAGCGCGGGGGUGUCGCACCUAUGAGACCGCCGCGGUAAACUUUUCGGCUCCACCAGCAAGGCUGUGGUUGUCCACGGCGCAUCCAGCUGCUUCUCAUUCUCGAAGCAACACAAGCGACAGCGCUGACUUGGAAAGCAGCGGCGCCCCUGUGAAUCACCGCACAUCGAUGACGGCGGACCCUGUCCACCUGGACAUGUCGUGUGCAACGUCGGUGUCUAGUGCACCAUCAUCGACUCCAUCCACACUCGAAGCCUUUUACAGUGCGCUGCAGGAAGAGGUGAAAGAUACGAAAUACUAUCACACCUCUUCUGCCUCUCCUCUUUCUCACAUAUCCUCUCGCCUGUUCGCUGGAUCAUCUGUGCGCAG
rnacentral:misc_RNA from 1 species